rnacentral:tRNA from 1 species
AGCAGGGUGACUGAAUUAAUAGGUGAUAAAUUGUAAAUUUAUUUAUGGCUUUGUGCCCCCUGCUA